GUCGCGCUGUAGUCUAGUGGUUGUGGUGCUGGGUGCCUGAUGAGCAGGGUGUGGGUUCGAUUCCCCCCCUCGACG
rnacentral:tRNA from 1 species